rnacentral:lncRNA from 1 species
ACACUAGUAGGGGAGUGGGAAGUGAGAUAAGGAAGGGAAGAAUGACUGUAAAGAGUGUCUUUUCUGGCAGAUUACUUCUGUGAGCAACUGGGUCUCUCAGUUCUUUGGGAGCACCCUGGGAAACAGUGUGGCUAUGACUUGGAGCUGCUCACCAGUUCCAGUCAUUCUGUGGUUGAGAGCUGCUCCCUAUGGAUGUUAAUUCUUCUCUAUUUUAGAUUUUCCACAGGUGUGGGCCCCAUUAGCUCUGGCCACCUGAGAAAGCCCUCAGGCAAAGAGUCGCAGGUGAAAGCCAGCAGUUAGAGGUUCACAGAAAUGAGUGCAGAAGCAUCUUCAGUUGGAGAGCCAUUGCCUCUUGCUGUGAAAUAUUUGGGAAUCUUCAGAAACCAUGAAGAAUAACCUGCUAAAGGCCACCAAGUUCUAUUGAACAUCAUGAAUCCUAUGCUCAAGUGAGAUCAGCUCAAGUGAGACCAGAUAUCUGAAGACCUUUUCAUUUUCGCCACCCUCAAAUGAAGGCAUGCAAGAUGAAUCAACCAAGGUUUGGAGACAAUAAACUGCUCACCCAAGAUUAUAUAAAGAAAGCAAAAAUUGCAGUUAGAAGUGGCAUUUGUUGGUUGUAGUAACAGUUAUCAUAAUCUGUGCCAUGGAUAUCAGAAAGGCCAAGUGUGAAGGAGCUGAACCAACUAGAAACUGAUUUUUAAGUUGUAGGUUUAAAACAUACCAGUUGAUGGACAGAGGCCUAUUUGCAUUGAUAAGUCACUGGAGUAAAGAGGUAAAAAUCUUAAGAGAUUUCACGUGGCUGAUUCAUUGCUACAGAAACAACUUCCUUGGUAUCUGAUGGUUAUAAGCUUAAUGACUCUUGCUUUGUUUCCAUGAAUGAAUUGGCAUCAUUAUGGAGAACUGAGGGAAUGCAGACUUUCAAGGCAGGGAAACAUUACAUUUAGCUCAUAUACAUGAUAAAAAGAAACAGAUUGUGUAAUUACUACACAUCUGUGAGCACAUUUUUUUUUUUAAAUAGAACUUUUCCUGAAUAAUUAAUCACAUCUCUUGAUUUAGGCCUUGGUAGUUUUUAAUAAAUUUUAAAUAUUUAUACCGUGUUGCCAACUAUUUAAUUGCUUACCAACUGCACAAUAUACAGUCACUUUGGGAGAGGAAUCAAGAGGCUGAUAAAUAAAAGGGUGCUAUCCACAGGCUGAAAUUUUUUAUCCUCACCUGCAAUUAAAGUACCCAAGAAUUUUUCAAAGCUACCUUUCAGAAGUGUUUUCAGAUUUUAUACAGUCUUCUUAAAAAAAAGUUCUGCUCCUGUAAUGUUGUUGAAAUAUAUUUGGACACCUAAAGUGUGUGCCAUAAAGACUGCUUUUCUCCUAGGAACAUUAUGCCUGUAAUUAGUAGAUAUUAUCACGAAGAUGAUAGAAUUUAAGUUUAUGGAUUGGGACCCAUGCAGUACAGAAAGCCCGGCAACCAAUGACUAACCAGUCCGGAUUCACUCAGCCUUUGCUACCAAAAAAAAUCUUAGUAAGCUAGACACAAAAGGACAAAUAUUGUAUGAUUCCAUUUACAUGAGGUACUUAGAAUAGGCAAAUUCACAGAGACAGAGUUAGUAUAGUGAUUACCAGGGUACAGGGAAGAGAGAAAUAAAGAUUUGUUUAACGAGUAUAUGGUUUCAAUUUGGGAUGCAAAAAUGUUCUGAAGAUGGAUGAUCGUGAUGAUGGUACAACAAUGUAAAUGUACUUACUGUCUCUUAGCCGUACAUUUAAAAUAGUUAAAAUUGUAAGUUUCAUGUUAUGUAUAUUUUCCCAAAAUAAAAAAUUUUUAAGCA